CAUCGGCGACCGGGCCCCUCUGGCAGGACGUGCGCGCACGACUGUGAUGUCGGAGCCGAUGC
rfam:Microvirga lotononidis strain WSM3557 genomic scaffold Micloscaffold_15, whole genome shotgun sequence.